UUCAAUACACAAACCCGAUCUUUAUUUUUAGCUUUACGUAGUGUUUUCCCAUUUGUCACUAGCUUUUGCUCAUCACUUUUGUCAUAAAACUUCAACAGUCUGUCCUUCUGUUUCUUCAGGUCACGUAUGGUGGUCAUUCCAACACCACGCUCUUUUCUAAGACAUUUCACACUUAAGCUGUGGUCCUAUUUCCCCAACAGCUGGACUUUCUGUGCCAUAAAUCAAUGCUUUGUCUUUUUCUUAUUACGUUUGCCCAAAGGGGUAUCUGUAGCCCUUUUUAAUAUUUCCAGCAAUAUCUUUACACCACAGAGCAGAGAAUAAGAAAAAACAAAACAAAACAGUGAGUCAUGCAGCCAGCCACUGUUAGGACUGUGGGCUUCCUUAAGCUCUUUCCUUAGGCCCUACUGGUGCAGUCCUGAACCUCCACUAAAGACCGCUGGCCAUUCCCCCGGACUUCUGCCAAAGGCCGUUCUUCCCUCUAGCUUGGAUGCUGUUACUGCCCAGGGUUUGGAUCUCAUCGCUACCAUAGACUGUUGGAGUUUCAAGGGUGGAGAUCCGCCAUUGCUUUUUCCAUAUCCGCAGAAAUUCCUUUCACAUGAAAUGUGAGUCUGUUGGGUUCCCCCCCGAGACCAGCGGUGGAAGAAGAAGCUGGAGGUGGCUGAUGAGACACUUCAUGCUGGACCAAGAAACGGGGACUCGGGGUUGAGUCCACAUGUGCCAUUUGUGGGGACGCCGUGCAUUCCCCAGUUUGCCGCUCUCUGUUUCAAAUUCUUUCACUCGAUGCUGUUGUGGGCAUGAAGUCAAAGCAGGCAUGUGUGAGACAGUGCUUUGUAAAACAUAAGGCACGGAACAAGUUUAGAACAGGAAGAGUUGAAGCUGGAUUGACGCAAUUACCAAAAAUAAAAUUAGCUGAGGGUGUCAGCGAUGAGCCAUGGAACUUUUAAUAAUCAUCACAUUUUAGGUCGGUGCCUUUAUGCUUUGAAUUCAAAUGGCAUCAAUUUAGGAAUAAAGAAGUCAACAGUUUUAAUGGCCCAAUAUGGAUGCAAGGGUCACUGAUUACUUUAGGGUCCUUAUGUUGCAAGGAGUCUAGGAAAAACUUCAAUUUUUUUUUUUUACAGCAACGUGAUUCUCUUUGUGGUGUCUACUAAAAUAAGAAAGUUACAGUGAGAUUUCUUCAGUGUUCUGAUGGCUUUCUGCCUCUCCUCUGACCAGCGUGAGCCACUCCUUCAUCUCUGCCUCUCACUUUCUGCUUGACAGUCAAGGCUCGCCUUGAACCUCCCUCUUCAGAAAGCCUUUCUGACCUGCCUCCUCAGGAGUGUUUGUUUGUGGUAUUUGACCACAAUCUGCACUAUACUAAUUAGCUAUGAUUUUUAUGGGGCUGGAGGAACUUCUAAGGCAGCAGCCGCGUCGGGUUCUUCUGUCUCCUUCCCAGGGCUUCCUCAGGGCUUAGUACAGGGCAUGUGCUAAGCAUUCCCUAGCCCCUUCCUUUGCCCUUGUUUGUUCUUUCUAAUCAGAUUCUGUGGGGAAGUUCAUUGUCACAAUGUCCAAUGUUUAGCAUUCAAAGGCUGCAUGAGGUAGAUCAGGUAAACAUACCUCUCUGGCUGUACCAAAAUGGGGGGUUUGGCAUAUCCGCCACCUGAAAGCAGCUGGACCCUGCGUGGAUCUGGGUUUGUAUGCUGUGAGUAAUGCUGUCUGCAUCUUCGAAUCUUUCACUGUAAGAAACAAAAGUCUGACAGCCUCUGAAUCCCGCCCUCCUUCCUGAUACACUGUGACAAUGUGUUUAUAGUACCCUGUUGAUGCUGACCAGAUGCUUGAAGAGGACAGGGUCAGAUGCUUUGUUUGCCGAAGAAACCAGGUAGAUACCCACACUGUGGCCCCAGGAGCUGGCAGCAUCCUGGCAGCACCCUCGCAGCACCGCAGAGCCCCCACCUGCCUGCCCGUCACCGAUGUCCUUUCUCUUCUUGAGUUAAGCCUUUCACUUACUGUCAGCUGGAGGAUGCAUGCCACAGCUAAAUCCCUGGCUAAAAGGUACUAACUCCCAGAUGCUCCAACCCCCACUGUGGGACUCACCGUGAAAAUGUCCAGUUUCUUUAUUAUCAAAGAAAAAUAAUAGUCAGUGAAACCCAAACAAAUCUUAGCGCUCCAUGUGGCACAGUCUCUGCCUAUUGGGACAAACUUGUGAUCUGUUUCAUACACCUUAAGAUACAAUGUAUCUUUCGGGAG
rnacentral:lncRNA from 1 species